AUUGAACGCUGGCGGCAUGCUUUACACAUGCAAGUCGAACGGUAACAGGCCGCAAGGUGCUGACGAGUGGCGAACGGGUGAGUAAUGCAUCGGAACGUGCCCAGUCGUGGGGGAUAACGCAGCGAAAGCUGCGCUAAUACCGCAUACGAUCUCUGGAUGAAAGCGGGGGACCGAAAGGCCUCGCGCGAUUGGAGCGGCCGAUGUCAGAUUAGGUAGUUGGUGGGGUAAAGGCCCACCAAGCCAACGAUCUGUAGCUGGUCUGAGAGGACGACCAGCCACACUGGGAAUGAGACACGGCCCAGACUCCUACGGGAGGCAGCAGUGGGGAAUUUUGGACAAUGGGCGCAAGCCUGAUCCAGCAAUGCCGCGUGCAGGAAGAAGGCCUUCGGGUUGUAAACUGCUUUUGUACGGAACGAAACGGUCCGGGUUAAUACCCUGGGCUAAUGACGGUACCGUAAGAAUAGGCACCGGCUAACUACGUGCCAGCCGCCGCCGUAACAC
rnacentral:rRNA from 1 species